rnacentral:tRNA from 1 species
AGUAAAAUGCCUGUUCAAAAGGGUUAUCGUGAUAGGUUAAAUAAUGUAAAUUAAUUACUUUUACUA